UUCUGGCUCAGGAUGAACGCUAGCGGGAGGCCUAACACAUGCAAGCCGAGCGGGAUUUGUUGUUAGCUUGCUAAUGAAUAAUGAGAGCGGCGUACGGGUGCGGAGCACGUGUGCAACCUGCCUUUAUCUGGGGGAUAGCCUUUCGAAAGGGAGAUUAAUACCCCAUAAUAUAUUAGAUGGCAUCAUUUGAUAUUGAAAACUCCGGUGGAUAGAGAUGGGCACGCGCAAGAUUAGAUAGUUGGUGAGGUAACGGCUCACCAAGUCAAUGAUCUUUAGGGGGCCUGAGAGGGUGAUCCCCCACACUGGGACUGAGACACGGCCCAGACUCCUACGGGAGGCAGCAGUGAGGAAUAUUGGUCAAUGGGUGAGAGCCUGAACCAGCCAAUCCCGCGUGAAGGACGACGGACCUAUGGUUUGUAAACCUCUUUUGUAUAGGGAUAAACCUACCCUCGUGAGGGUAGCUGAAGGUACUAUACGAAUAAGCACCGGCUAACUCCGUGCCAGCCGCCGC
rnacentral:rRNA from 1 species